CAACCCUCAAGCAAUGCUUGGUAUUGGGCUUCGCUGCUCACGUAGCGGGCCUUAAAAUCAGUGGCGGUGCCGUCGGGCCCUGAGCGCAGUAAACAUCCUCGCUACAGGGACUCGGUGGACGCUGGCCAUCAACCCCAACUCUCA
rnacentral:misc_RNA from 1 species